GGUUUAGUUGCUAACUCUUUUCAGUCCCAAGUCGGACUGGGACUUGUGUGAUCUUCCAUUUACUUUUACUUGGAAAAAGAAAUCACAUUUGUAUUAUGGGGAAAAAUGGUGGUCCAGAGAGAGAAGGAAAAGUUUACACUUGGAAAACUAGUGGCCGUAGAAGAGAAGGAAAAAGAGGGGGCACAGGCACACGGAAUCAUUUCCAUCGCAAAGAAUUAAAUUAAAAAGGUUGUGAGAAUAAUAAAAAGAAAAUGUUAGCCGUGGUGGAGAUGUGUAUGAAUGAGCUGGGAAAGCUCGGCCAGAAGGUCGGAGCAGCCGGGAAGCGCCGCGUAGUUUUGAUGUCAUCGAAGCCCAAACAAGAUGACGAUCAACAUGAAGCUCAAAAUGAGGAGAACAUUAAGGCUGCUGCUGCUUCUUCAUCGUCUUCUUCUUCUAGUACUCUCUCUGAAGACACUGUUUUUUUGCUCAUGGACCGUUUUGCCCCUUUGUGAUCAUAUCAUCUUCUUCUCUUCUGUAAUUUAUGUAUCUAUAUGUAUGUAAUAGCAGCUUCUUGACUUUGUAUGGUGCUUUUUAAUUUGUGUAAUAAUUAUCGCCAGCAUGCUUUUCUGUGUAUGUUUAGAGUAAUUUGCUCAAGAAAUAAUAAUAGCAUUAAGUAUUUA